rnacentral:sRNA from 1 species
GAAUCUGCUCGUCUUCGGGUUUACGUUUUCCUUGAUAGUAAUACACCGAGGUACUCAGAGCGAACAGCAUGCAUGCCUGUCGCAAACUCAGCUUAUGCUCGGUACGGGAAUAAUUCACCAGCUCCCGUUUUUCCGCUGGUGUC